GGUUCGGUAGCUUAGUUGGUAAAGCGCUCGUCUAGCAUACAAGAGUCCUGGGUUCAAAUCCAAGCCGAGCAC
rnacentral:tRNA from 1 species